UUUCGUUUUAAAACCAAGCAGAACUGCGUUUGGUGCCUGAACGCAAAGAUUCUUCUGUUAAGGGUUUCAUUUCGAUAUCUUUGCAAGAGGUACUUUUGGAUACUUUAUGGCACCAAAGGGUGCGGCCUCGGUGGAAUGCAGCAAAGAAUAGAAGAGAUUGGAAAGGUCAAUAUGACAGUGAAAGAGCCCUGUUGAUUAGUUUCGAGGAGACCCAAUGGUUUGAGCUAGGGAUAAGCCGUGUUUGGAAGUAGAAUAGUUCGCUGUAGUCAUGUGAUGUUUUGAUAGCUGUAUAUCAUUUUGCGAUCAACAAAACCAGGUGUGAUAUCUUGAGAAAUCACACCAUACAUUCCGACUUAUCUCUUCAGAGAUACUGGAUAAAUACUUUUGGUUAACUGUGUAAUGGUUUUAUAUAUUGAGUCAGCACAUUUUUUAUCGAUGAAUUUCUGUCUUUUUUGCCACGGUUGAAGAAAGGUUGGAGCCCUGACGUGUCUUGAAAUUCCUUUCGGGAAGCUUGUAAUAGAUUUAAAGGCUUGUAACAUACUUGGUCUUCAUUGUUACAAUCUGUGUGUUUGUUAAAUAUCGCGGCAUCGGAUAUGCCGAUACACACUCGACCUCGACACAAAUUCGACUGGUGUUUUUAGUUAUGCGUGGGCGAGAAUUUGUAAUAACUCUUCUCUCUUUGUGCUAGGAUAAUAUGAAGCGCGUGCACAAAAUUUCGAUGGAACUCCGAAAUUGAUGAGUAACCCGAUCAGUAAGGAGUGAGACAAACUACAUGUCACUGACCCUGCUGGAAAGCAAUUUGAAACAGAUCUCACCGACCAUUUUGCCUAAGGUCUCAAAGUUUCCGAAUAGUAGACUGUUCAUGAGAUUUUGAAAAUAAUUUUUGUACUUAAUGUUUCUGUGAAUCUCGCUCAGUAUUACAAUACACACGUAUUGCCAAGUUUUGAGCAUGACUAGAUGGAAUUCAAGGUUUACACGUAGUCGCUUUUAAGUCAUAAAGUAUUGUAGAUUAAUUUAAGAGUUUGCUCUAUUUUCUUUUUCAAAACAAUUCCUUUGUCUCCAAUAUACACUGCGAAUGACGACCAAAACUUCUUUUGAAGAGAAGAACGAAAGUUUUUGUAUUUCGUUUUAUCGCUGGACUUUCUUCUGCGAUAGUUCAGUGUUAACUAAAGAAGUGGAGCCUCGAGCGACUUUUGCCCCCCUCGUCUUUGUCUCUCAUUUCUAUUUUUUUUCGCCUUUAGGAUAAAACGUUGUUUACAAUUUCUUAAAUCGGCGGAUUUAUAACCACUUCCGGAGUUGGCUCCACUGUGUCUCCGUUCUGUCUUUAUUACAAUUUGCAGUCAUAUCAUUGCCUUCUAUUAAAAUUCCUCGCAUAAAAUCACUGCUAAUUAGUUCCAAUGUUAGUGGGGGUUUUGAUUACGUUUCGAUAACAAGCUGAAAUCCUCAAGCGUCAAAAGCAAUGUGUUUGCUGAACAAACACCCUGUACAGUUCAAUGCCUCCACCUUUCGCUAUGGUUAAAAAACGACCUCGUGAGACUUACACCAAAUUUCGUUUUGUUAAGGCUCGAUGUGGCAAACAGUGUCAAAUGAACCUGCUGCUUAAGUGAAUCCUUUAAAGGUUGCGUUCGUUCAUUUUAAGGAAAGUUUUUAGAGUUUCUAAGGCGUAAAAAAUAACUAGGGAAAAAAAACCGUAGCUCCAGAGUUCAGAAACCGAUAUGGCAUAAGACCUGUAAUUAUAGAAAGCUGAUCACCGUACAAUAACUGGAAGUAUACGCUGCCGUCAAUCCACUCAUGUCGUUACUGUGUUUUAUCUUGAUAUUUACGGAUAAAUUGUCUCUUCUGUAAUCUUAACUGUCUUAAUUUGAAUAGGACGUUUUUGAUUUAUUAAAAAAAGGAAGUUUGAA